rnacentral:lncRNA from 1 species
UAAAGUGGUGUCCCAAGGGGAGCUCUUAGACGACCCCGCGUUACUGCUUUCAGUGUCCUGCGGAAGGAACGUGAACCAUUUAGAAAUUUGGCUUCAUUAAUUAGAAUGCAACCAUAUGGAGCUAAUUACGCGGGGGUGUAUUCCUUACCAAAACAAGCUCAAGCGCCUUGGUCUUCGGAUCCGUGGUAAGCUCCUUGGUUACCGGGUCAAUCUUGUACCGGGCCCUGACAUAGUUCUUGGUCUGCUUGUCACGGUAUUUAUCGAAGAGGGGCGGUAGGCCUUGCUCGGCACGCUCCGCGUCCUCCUUGUCC